rnacentral:antisense_RNA from 1 species
GUGCGGGUGGUGACCGGCCAGGUGUGCUGGGAGUCGGUCAGCACCUGGGCCCCGAGGAAGUCGCCGUCGCUCAGGACGUCCAGGACGCUCGUGCCGCCGUACGCGCCGGUGGUGCUCGUGCUCACCUUGCCGUGAGCGAGCAGGAUCACCUCCUCGGCCGGCUCGUGGGCGGUGGUGAGGGUCUCCCCGGCCGCGAGGUGCCGCUGGGUGAAACGUUCGGACAGGGCGGUCAGCGCGUGCUCGUCCGCCAGGUCGCGCAGCGCGGGCAACUCCCGCAGCUCCGGUGGCAGCACGCGCACCUCGCCAGCGGUGGUGGAGAAGGUCAGCCGACCGUCGCCGAGGGUGUAGGUCAGCCUGCGGUUGACCCGGUAGGAGCCGCUCUCGGUGUCCACCCAGGGCAGCAUGCGCAGCAGCCAGCGAGGGCUGAUCGACUGCGUCUGCGGCGGCGUCUUGGUGGUGGUGGCCAGGGUACGGGCCGCUGCCGGGCCGAGGCUGAGCCUUUGCUGUCGU